CCUACGGGUGGCAGCAGUGGGGAAUUUUGCGCAAUGGGCGAAAGCCUGACGCAGCAACGCCGCGUGUGUGAUGAAGGUCUUCGGAUUGUAAAGCACUUUCGACCGGGACGCGGUACCGGGAGAAGAAGCACCGGCUAACUCUGUGCCAGCAGCCGCGGUAAUACAGAGGGUGCAAGCGUUGUUCGGAAUUAUUGGGCGUAAAGCGCGUGUAGGCGGCUUUGCAAGUCGGGUGUGAAAGCCCUCAGCUCAACUGAGGAAGUGCGCCCGAAACUGCAGAGCUUGAGUGCCGGAGAGGGUAGCGGAAUUCCCCAAGUAGAGGUGAAAUUCGUAGAUAUGGGGAGGAACACCGGUGGCGAAGGCGGCUACCUGGACGUACUGACGCUGAGACGCGAAAGCGUGGGUAGCAAACAGGAUUAGAUACCCUUGUAGUC
rnacentral:rRNA from 1 species